AUAUUUGUGCAAAUCAAAGUUUCUUAUUCCUGUGGAGCUGCUUGUGGACUUCUGCAGUUCAGCCCUUCUUCUCUGUACACUUAUAAACCAAAACUCCAGCCUUGAGGUUGGCAAUGCUGCCUACACUCCCAUCCCUGUAGGCUUUGAAGAGAGGUGAAGAGCCCCUGGAGCUGCAGGAGAAGAGACCUGUUCCUACACAUAAGGAAGAACUGCAUAAAGAGUGCUCACUCUUAAAUGUUCCACUGGCCAAAACAUGGGGAGCAAUUGCAAGCUUUCAUA